GCUUAAAUUAAUUAAGAUAAACUUAAGAUAAGUCUUGGACAUUGAUAUUCAUGGUUUACCACUAAAAAAGUGUCGUACAGUAUAUUGAUAUCACAGUUUGUAUACCAUUAAAAAGGAAAAGAAGAAAAAAAGAUACUCCCUCCGUCUCACAAAUAAAUGCAUUUCUUUGACUCCUACAAUUUAUGUUUGACCAUUCAUCUUAUUUAAAUUUUUUGCGUAAAUAAUAAAAUAAAUAAAUCGUUAUAAAAUUAUAUCUAACAAUAAAAUAAGUCAUAAAAAAAUAAAUAAUAUUUAUUAAAUUUUUUUGAAUAAGACGAACGGUCAAACAUGAAUAAUAGAAGUCAAAGAAAUGUAAUUAUUUAUGGGAUGAAGGAAAAAAGGAAAAUAAAAAAGAAAUAAAAAAAGAAAUAAAAAAAAGAAAAUAAGGACAGGAUGUACGUGUUUCUUCCAUCCAAUGUCUUCCUCACGAAGCCUCCCUCCCUCGGCUCUCUCUAUAUCUCGGUCCCUUCUCUCACGCCGCCCACCUCUCCCUUCUCCCGCCUACUCUCUCCUCCGGCUGGGCCGCUAUCGGCGUCGCCCCCUCCAGCCGCGCCGUCCGCCCAUCCGUGCCUCAACCUCCGGUGUAGGCCGCCGGCCCCAAAGCACCGUGCCGCCCCGACCCUUGCUGCUGCCACCAGGCCAGCCGCGUGAGGACAAUUAGGGCCGGGCAUGGGGGCUUGUGCACGCCAUCCCGCGCCCUGGUAGGUGCCCCCCCUCCUCUUCCUACUGAGCGGGACGCCGAGCAUCACCAGAGGUCCAUCACUCCCUUCCUGCUAUGUGAAAAUACUCAAUCCCUAACUUGAGUUUAUUUAUUUCUAUUCGGAUCUGAGAUGCAAUGGCCUGGAGCUUGACGGCUUCGCCUGGUUAACGAGGACGCCAGAUCAGGCGCCAUGGUAGAGAGCCAGAUCCAUGCCAACUAUCUGGAGUAGCAGAUCUGCAGUAAAGGACAAAAUUUUAGUAAAAGUUCUUACUUUUUGUACAACUUUCUCUUUCUUUGAUUAAAUUAGAAAUUGAUAGUGAGAUUGGUGAUAUAAAUGUAAUGCAUUUGCUUGCUGUGUCAAUUGUUCAUCAUGUUAUGAAAUUAUCAGGAACUAAAAUUUAUAGUUGUUCCUUGUAUAAUUUUUCUCAUAGGAGAAUGUUUAUCCCUACUAUAAUUCUAUAGAGAAUUUGUACAUUACUGUAGUUUGCUCCCGUUGCUGUUAGAAACCAACAGUUUGGGUGCACAACUAUUUGAAGCCUCAGUGCUAACUAUUGUUACAUCCUUUAAUUUCCAGGUACAUGGAAUAGAUGGGCUGAAUGGUUAUCUCAACAAGUACACAAUUGAGCUUGACCUCAGAUUGAAGCCAUUGUUGGAACUUAGAGUACUAUACCACUGCUCCUAUACUUUUGAUGCAAAAUCUGUAAAUUUAAUUUGUGGCAUGGCUUUAGAGAAUGCAUGUGCCGUGGAGAGCUACUAUAUAUUUAUCAUGUUCUUUUAAAAAUGCUAGAAGAGAAAAUUGAUGCCAUGGAGAGCUGUUUUUAUCUGUAGUGUUAUUAUUCUACACUAUUAUGAUACUCUAGUAGUGAAGCUAUGAAUUGCCUCUUUCUAGUAAAUGAAUUGUCUCUUUCUGGUAAAUAGCAUAGCAGACUAGCAGUUCAUAUCAUGCUUACAACCUUACUACUGUGCUUGGAUGGUUUCUAAAGAAAGUUUCAUGCCUCUUGCAGUUUUUGAUUGUCUUAGAACAAUAUGACUGAAGAGAGCAGCUUAAGAAAAGUGGCCUGGUGAUAAGGUCCAAUAGGCAGUGUAUGUUUGAUGACUCAUCUCAUUUCUUCCUCGCUGGUGAUAAGGACAAUAGGCAGCCAGUACAAUUAUAGCUUCACAUGUCAAGCUUCCAAGUUUGUAAGUUGCAGAUUUAUAGUGCAAUAGUUAAUUGCUAGUUGCAGUACAUUCAGUAGCGCAGUAGUUGCUAGUAUUUUAGCUACUCAGAUUUCUUCAGUUUAGAUAAUAGAACUGUUGCUUGCUCCUUUUAAUAUGCACUGUUGCUUGCUCCUUGUUUCAAAAUCUGUCUGUUCAUAACGCAAAGCAAAAUCCACUUGAGCAAAGAUGUAAUCUUAGAUAGAAAGUUUAGCAUGAAGAACAGAAAUGAGAUAAAUAUGUAGAUAUAUGGACAUUGAAUAUUUUGUAACUCCUAACCUGUUUUGGUUAUCUACCUAGCUUCUAUUAAGUCACUAGUAAACUGGUAUAUGUUGAUUUGGUUAUCUGUCUAAUUUUGACUUAUCUAAAGCUCCAAAACUACUAGGAGCACCUUAAAUUACUAUUAUUAAAUUGUGUGCUAUGUUUGAUAUGUUAGAUUUGAUGCUAAAAGCAUGCUAGGGAUUUUUUGAUGUGAUGGAGCAGGUGAAGGACAAGAUCAGCAAGAGAGUCGCAGCACUCUAAUAGGCAGGGUCACAGUUUCAGACAAAUUAUUUACUCGUCACUUUAAGUGACUAAUUUGAUGUUAAGUGACAUUACAUAUAUAAUGUACUUGUUCGAUACAUGAAUCAAUGUAUGGAUAAUGUGAUCACUUUUGAAUGUCAUUACUUCUAUGUAUGUGAUAUAAGGUAUGGCUAAUGUUUGAUCAUCAGCUAUACCUUCAGUUCAGC
rnacentral:lncRNA from 1 species